rnacentral:ncRNA from 17 species
AUUAUAAAAGGGAAUGAGGUUCUCCUCUGGAAAACCUGAAUGGGCAACCUAAACUGCUAAUAUAGCUGAUGACUUCUACGAUUAU